GUUUGAUCCUGGCUCAGGAUAAACGCUGGCGGCGUGCCUAACACAUGCAAGUCGAACGCGCUCAGCAAUGAGUGAGUGGCGGACGGGUGAGUAACACGUGGGCAAUCUACCUUUCGGUGAGGAAUACCGGCGAGAAAUCGCCGACAAUACCGCAUACGUUUCGCAAGAAACAAAGUCGCAAGACGCCGGAGGAGGAGCCUGCGCCCGAUUAGCUAGUUGGUGGGGUAAAAGCUCACCAAGGCGACGAUCGGUAGCUGGUCUGAGAGGAUGAUCAGCCACACUGGGAUUGAGAACGGCCCAGACUCCUACGGGAGGCAGCAGUGAGGAAUUUUCGUCAAUGGGGGAAACCCUGAACGAGCAACGCCGCGUGCAGGAUGACACUUUUCGGAGCGUAAACUGCUUUUCUCGGGGACGAGUAAGGACGGUACCCGAGGAAUCAGCCCCGGCUAACUACGUGCCAGCAGCCGCGGUAAUACGUAGGGGGCAAGCGUUGUCCGGAUUUAUUGGGCGUAAAGAGCGUGUAGGCGGUUAGGUAGGUCCGUUGUGAAAACUCGAGGCUCAACCUCGAGACGCCGAUGGAAACCCCUAACUAGAGUCCGGAAGAGGAGAGUGGAAUUCCUGGUGUAGCGGUGAAAUGCGCAGAUAUCAGGAAGAACACCCGUGGCUAAGGCGGCUCUCUAGUACGGUACUGACGCUGAGACGCGAAAGCGUGGGGAGCGAACAGGAUUAGAUACCCUGGUAGUCCACGCCGUAAACGAUGGGUGCUAGGUGUGGGAGGUGUCGACUCCUUCCGUGCCGAAGCUAACGCAUUAAGCACCCCGCCUGGGGAGUACGGCCGCAAGGCUAAAACUCAAAG
rnacentral:rRNA from 1 species